rnacentral:sRNA from 2 species
CUCAAGCCCAGAUAGUAGUGGAAAUCCUUUUCUUUUUUCUUUAAAAAGAAAAGAUUGCAACGUAUAGCUGGAAAAAGC